rnacentral:sRNA from 12 species
CCUUUGGAGUGUCAUAUCAAACGAAAGUAGCCAUGCCUAGCAUCCUUUGAAAGAAAGGAUGUAUAAAUGGUAAACCAAAUCGGACACGAUGAAUAAGGAA